GAUGAACGCUGGCGGCGUGCCUAAUACAUGCAAGUCGAGCGAACGGACGAGAAGCUUGCUUCUCUGAUGUUAGCGGCGGACGGGUGAGUAACACGUGGAUAACCUACCUAUAAGACUGGGAUAACUUCGGGAAACCGGAGCUAAUACCGGAUAAUAUUUUGAACCGCAGGGUUCAAAAGUGAAAGACGGUCUUGCUGUCACUUAUCGCGGGAUCUCGGCUGGAUUAGCUAGUUGUUAAGGUAACGGCUUACCAAGGCAACGAUGCGUAGCCGACCGGUGUGGGGGAUAGGCGACAUGGGAGGGGAACCAGGGUCAAUACUCCUACGGGAGGCAGCAGAAGCGAAUCUGCCGCAAUGGGCGAAAGCAUGGCGGAGCAAGGGCGCGUGAGUGAUGACGGUCUUCGGAUCGUAAAACUCUGUUAUUAGGGAAGAACAUAUGUGUAAGUAACUGUGCACAGCGUGACGGUACCUAAUCAGAAAGCCACGGCUAACUACGUG
rnacentral:rRNA from 1 species